UCGGAAUUACUGGGCGUCAAGGGCGCGUAGGCGGCUUAUCAAGUCAGGCGUGAAAUUCCCGGGCUCAACCUGGGGGCUGCGCUUGAUACUGAUGAGCUUGAAUGCGGGAGAGGAUAGUGGAAUUCCCAGUGUAGAGGUGAAAUUCGUAGAUAUUGGGAAGAACACCGGUGGCGAAGGCGGCUAUCUGGCCCGUAAUUGACGCUGAGGCGCGAAAGCGUGGGGAGCAAACAGG
rnacentral:rRNA from 1 species